CUUUGGGAAAUAGGCGAAGGCACCAGUGGUUAACCUAACCCUAAAGAUCCCAGCUCCUUCCUUCCUGCCCCGUCGGCGGAGCGCAUCGAAAGGAAAUGUGCUACGGGCUGGCGUGGCGAUCUCUUUCCCCUUUCUCCUUGUUUACCAGCUUCUUUUAUAUGGCUGCAUUCCUUCAAGGUGGGAGAAGCAGCCGAAGCCGGGAAAUUGACAAGAGAUCGUCGCGCCGGGCGGCUCGGAAGUUCUUGCGAGCAUCAACGGGGCUGUUGAAGCUGGAGGGCGGACUGCUGCCGGGAAGCGGCAAGGCAAAAGAGGACAGAUCCGUUGGCAUUUGCCCACCCCGGAUCCUGAAGAUUGGUGAAGUGAGCAGAAGGCGUCCCCCUUAAAGCUGAACUCCACCUUAUCCCAGCAUCACAUGAUGUGUGGUGCGGCACAUGUAGAUCCCAGCGCAUCACCUUUAAACUACACAUCUGGAGGAGAAUUCAACCGAGGCAGAAACCCAUGCAUUUCAAAUAAACGUUAAACUCUCAGGCAAUUAAAAAAAUGCAAAUUAAAAAAAAUGCAAAGUUA